rnacentral:rRNA from 1 species
CGGACGGGUGAGUAACGCGUGAGAAUCUGCCUUUUGGUCGGGGACAACCACUGGAAACGGUGGCUAAUACCGGAUGAGCCUACGGGUAAAAGAUUUAUUGCCAAAAGAAGAGCUCGCGUCUGAUUAGCUAGUUGGUGUGGUAAGAGCGCACCAAGGCGACGAUCAGUAGCUGGUCUGAGAGGAUGACCAGCCACACUGGGACUGAGACACGGCCCAGACUCCUACGGGAGGCAGCAGUGGGGAAUUUUCCGCAAUGGGCGCAAGCCUGACGGAGCAAGACCGCGUGAGGGAGGAAGGCUCUUGGGUUGUAAACCUCUUUUAUCAGGGAAGAAAAAAAUGACGGUACCUGAUGAAUCAGCAUCGGCUAACUCCGUGCCAGCAGCCGCGGUAAUACGGAGGAUGCAAGCGUUAUCCGGAAUUAUUGGGCGUAAAGCGUCCGCAGGUGGCUAUUCAAGUCUGUUGUUAAAGCACGGGGCUUAACCCCGGAAAGGCAAUGGAAACUGAAAAGCUAGAGUGCAGUAGGGGUAAAGGGAAUUCCCGGUGUAGCGGUGAAAUGCGUAGAGAUCGGGAAGAACAUCGGUGGCGAAAGCGCUUUACUGGACUGCAACUGACAGUCAGGGACGAAAGCUAGGGGAGCGAAUGGGAUUAGAU